rnacentral:rRNA from 1 species
UACGAAGGGGGCUAGCGUUGCUCGGAAUCACUGGGCGUAAAGGGUGCGCAGGCGGCCGUGUGUGUCAGGUGUGAAAGCCCGGGGCUUAACCCCGGAAUUGCGCCUGAAACUACAUGGCUAGAGCAUUGGAGAGGGUAGCGGAAUUCACGGUGUAGCAGUGAAAUGCGUAGAUAUCCGGAGGAACACCGGUGGCGAAGGCGGCUUCCUGGACCGACACUGACGCUGAGGCGCGAAAGCUAGGGGAGCAAACGGG